rnacentral:lncRNA from 1 species
AUGAGAGGUAGCAUGGGGCAACUACAGGAGACGAGUGCUCCCAACUGUCGCUUUUUGCUCUUCCUUCUCUUCCUGGUGACUCUGUGUCAUGGGCAAGCGCAGUAUGUCUCAUGGGGAGCACUGAGUCCAGAUGAACGUGUUGGCAACAUGUACGGAGCAUAUCCCAUGGAAGCUGAUCCAGAACUUGGUGAAUAUCCCAGGGAUCUGCCUGUACGCCGCGUAUCUGGGCUGCGCCGUUUAUAUCAGCCUCAAGGCUACCCCAGGGAGGUGGUCUCAGGUGCUGGCUCUGUAGCUUCUCGGUGGGUUCCUGGUGUUGAGCCUUGGAGGAAUCACAUGGCUGUUGAACCUAAGAUUCCUAUUGUACAUUCUCAGAUGGAUCUUGGUUUUGAGCCUGAACAGUAUCCCAGAGGUGCUGGUGCUGUGAGAACAGCAGAGGGUGUGGAUCAGAAACGGGGAGAAAAUCACUCUGCAGUUGCAGUGCUUGCCGUGCUGUUCUCUCUGGUUGUUCUGGCAGCUUUGGGUUACCUGGCAAAACAUCUGCUGAAGAAGAGACGAGAAGGUGCAAUGCUAGGUGAAGCUGGCAUUUGCGUAAGAAAGGAAGACCCAUCUCGAGUAGAAAAACGACAGAACUUAGCGAGAAUUACCAUAGAAAUUGAAGAUCUUUCUGGGAAGUCAAACCCAAAUCUGAAGGGUCUUCUCUCUCCACUCACUGACUUAUUCUGUCAGUCCUCAGAGCGAUUCAUUCUGCCUGACUCUCGCAAGCAGUCAGAAAUCGCUGAUGAAAGCAAAAAGCCAAUAGAGUCAGGAAAAGAGAGGAAAAGUACAUGCACCUGUGGAAGAACAGUGAAACUGGGUGAAACAUAGAACCCCCAGUGGACCAAGAAUGUAGAGAUCAGCACCGCUGGGGAGCUGUGUGCCACGGAAGAGAACGCACAGUGUCCAUGAGAGAAAUACAUCAGACAAAUGGGAAAGGGAGAGUCUCCUAACCGUGCUGCAGGCUCGGCAAUGCAGAGCAAUAAGGAAUGUCCUUACAUCACUACAUCACUUUGUCUCUCCCUCCCGGAAAUGACAUGGGAAGGAGUGGAGCAUUUGGGGAACUCUAGUUCUCCCUUAACAGCUUUCCCACUUCCAUCAGUUCAUUGCGUGAUGUCCAUACUUAUGGACGACCAGGAGAGCAUUCACCACUUAUUCCAUAUCAUGACAUCAUGCCCAAGUUGUACAACACAGGUAUAUGUAUCUACAUGAUCAAUAAACUAUAAUUAACAUUAUAUACAGGUAUGUGUACAUAUGUGCAUAUAUACCUAAAAGUACUGACUGUUCUCUCCCAGCAUCAAGUCUCCUUCAG